rnacentral:rRNA from 1 species
UACGGAGGGUGCGAGCGUUGUCCGGAAUCACUGGGCGUAAAGGGCGCGUAGGUGGCCCGGUCAGUCUUUGGUGAAAGCGCGGGGCUCAACCCUGCGUCGGCCAGGGAUACUGCCGCGGCUCGAGCACUGUAGAGGCAGGCGGAAUUCCGGGUGUAGCGGUGGAAUGCGUAGAGAUCCGGAAGAACAUCGGUGGCGAAGGCGCUCUGCUGGACCAUAACUGACACUCAGGGACGAAAGCUAGGGGAGCGAAUGGG